ACGUAGGGGGCGAGCGUUGUCCGGAAUUAUUGGGCGUAAAGAGCUCGUAGGCGGUAGUUCAAGUCAGGUGUGAAAGCCGACGGCUUAACCGGAGGACUGCACUUGAUACUGGGCUGCUAGAGGUAAGGAGAGGAAAGUGGAAUUCCCGGUGUAGCGGUGAAAUGCGUAGAUAUUGGGAGGAACACCAGUGGCGAAGGCGACUUACUGGCCAUAACCUGACGCUGAGGCGCGAAAGCCAGUGGAGCAAACGG
rnacentral:rRNA from 1 species